CCUACGGGAGGCAGCAGUGAGGAAUAUUGGUCAAUGGACGAGAGUCUGAACCAGCCAAGUAGCGUGAAGGAUGACUGCCCUAUGGGUUGUAAACUUCUUUUAUAAAGGAAUAAAACGAGGCACGUGUGCCUUUUUGCAUGUACUUUAUGAAUAAGGAUCGGCUAACUCCGUGCCAGCAGCCGCGGUAAUACGGAGGAUCCGAGCGUUAUCCGGAUUUAUUGGGUUUAAAGGGAGCGUAGAUGGGUUGUUAAGUCAGUUGUGAAAGUUUGCGGCUCAACCGUAAAAUUGCAAUUGAUACUGGUAGUCUUGAGUACAGUUGAGGUAAGCGGAAUUCGUGGUGUAGCGGUGAAAUGCUUAGAUAUCACGAAGAACCCCGAUUGCGAAGGCAGCUUACUAAACUGUGACUGACAUUGAUGCUCGAAAGUGUGGGUAUCGAACAGGAUUAGAUACCCGAGUAGUC
rnacentral:rRNA from 1 species